GACGAACGCUGGCGGCGUGCCUAAUACAUGCAAGUCGAACGCAGUGGGGACGGGUGCGUAACACGUGGGUAACCUCCCAUCAGAGGGGAUAACACUUGGAAACAGGUGCUAAACCGAUACUGAUGGAUGGACCCGCGGUGCAUUAGCUAGUUGGGGAGGUAACGGCUCACCAAGGCCACGAUGCAUAGCUGCCCGGAGAUGGUGAUCGGCCACACUGCGAUGGGGAAACGGCCCCGAUUCCUGCGGUCGGCUGCAGUAGGAAAUCUUCGGAAAUGGACGAAAGUCUGACCGAGCAACGCCGGGUGAGUGAAGAAGGUUUUCGGAUCUUAAAACUCUGUUGUUAGAGAAGCGGUAUCUAACCAGAAAGCCACGGCUAACUACGUGCCAGCAGCCGCGGGAAUAC
rnacentral:rRNA from 1 species